rnacentral:rRNA from 1 species
UGGGGGAAUUUUGGACAAUGGGCGAAAGCCUGAUCCAGCAAUGCCGCGUGUGUGAAGAAGGCCUUCGGGUUGUAAAGCACUUUUGUCCGGAAAGAAAUCCUUGGCUCUAAUACAGUCGGGGGAUGACGGUACCGGAAGAAUAAGCACCGGCUAACUACGUGCCAGCAGCCGCGGUAAUACGUAGGGUGCAAGCGUUAAUCGGAAUUACUGGGCGUAAAGCGUGCGCAGGCGGUUUGCUAAGACCGAUGUGAAAUCCCCGGGCUCAACCUGGGAACUGCAUUGGUGACUGGCAGGCUAGAGUAUGGCAGAGGGGGGUAGAAUUCCACGUGUAGCAGUGAAAUGCGUAGAGAUGGUGGAGGAAUACCGAUGGCGAAGGCAGCCCCCUGGGCCAAUACUGACGCUCAUGCACGAAAGCGUGGGGAGCAAACAGGAUUAGAUACCCUGGUAGUCCACGCCCUAAACGAUGUCAACUAGUUGUUGGGGAUUCAUUUCCUUAGUAACGUAGCUAACGCGUGAAGUUGACCGCCUGGGGAGUACGGUCG